CUCUAACUGGCGAGAUGUAAAAAACUUUUCGACCUGAACUCAGACGUGGAC
rnacentral:rRNA from 1 species